rnacentral:lncRNA from 1 species
CCUGGCCGAUCCCCUCCGUCGUCGUCGCGUGAACUCCUCGCCGAUCCCCUCCGUCGUCGUCGCGUGAACUCCUCGCCGAUCCCCCGCCUCCGUCGCGCCGUCACGCCGCCGAUUCCCCCCUCCUCGUCUGGCGCGCCGCGGGGUUCAGUCGGCGCCGAUCCCCAUCCCCCAGGUGGCCGUCGCCGAUCCUGCAUCUCCUCUGUCCGAUCCUGCAUCUCCUCUGUCCCGUCCUCGCCGAUCCCCCGCCUCCGUCGCGCCGUCACGCCGCCGAUUCUCGCCUCUCCAAGACCGCUUUCAUUUUUGCAUCUUCCCCAGAUCACUGCUGGUCAACAGAGGCAGUGGAGGCUGAGGAGGUCGCCAUCCACAACCGACAACGACAACGCGACGCCGCUGCCGCCUCAAGAGCCACCGCUGCCUAUCCGUACUCACGCCACCGUUCCUCCUGUGCUGAAAGGUACUUUCAGCGAACAAGAAUCUUACUCCAUUAUAAGGAAUCAAACCAAUCGUGAAGGUAGCUGGUACUUUGAGAACUGUCAGAUAUGCAAAUCUGGCUAAAUAGUCAUCCAUGUGAAAUGCCUUAAUGAACUCUGUAUUUAUAUAGAUGAGAUAGCUCAUUUAGAGAGUACAUACAUGAUGUGGGUUCUUCGAUCCAAUAAACUCUGUAGUGUUGAUCCAUUUAUAUAUAAUUCUCCCUGUUGUGCUGAUCCAUUUAUAU